CCCUCGGAGUGUUAUAUAAAAUGAGAGUAGUGUAUUGUUUGUAAUCACGAAAUUCAGACACAUUGAACAGGGAA
rfam:Epulopiscium sp. SCG-C07WGA-EpuloA2 SCGC07WGA_65, whole genome shotgun sequence.